rnacentral:rRNA from 1 species
GACGAACGCUGGCGGCGUGCCUAAUACAUGCAAGUCGAGCGGACGAAUCGAAAGCUUGCUUUUGAUUCGUUAGCGGCGGACGGGUGAGUAACACGUGGGCAACCUGCCCUGUAGACGGGGAUAACACCGAGAAAUCGGUGCUAAUACCGGAUAACACGAAAUGUCGCAUGACGUUUCGUUGAAAGACGGCGCAAGCUGUCGCUACAGGAUGGGCCCGCGGCGCAUUAGCUAGUUGGGGAGGUAACGGCUCACCAAGGCGACGAUGCGUAGCCGACCUGAGGGGGUGAUCGGCCACACGGGGACUGAGACACGGCCCAGACUCCUGCGGGAGGCAGCAGUAGGGAAUCUUCCGCAAUGGACGAAAGUCUGACGGAGCAACGCCGCGUGAGCGAAGAAGGCCUUCGGGUCGUAAAGCUCUGUUGUUAGGGAAGAACAAGUAACGCAGUAACUGGCGUUACCGUGACGGUACCUAACGAGAAAGCCACGGCUAACUACGUG